GCAACGGCAAAAUCCGUUGCCGGGCGUGAGAACCCGAAUCAAUCAAAGGAGCCGACCCACGCUCUUGCGUGGUUUUU
rnacentral:sRNA from 1 species